GUCCUCGUAGCUCAACGGAUAGAGUGAUGGCCUCCGAAGCCAUUGAUGCAGGUUCGAUUCCUGUCGAGGACG
rfam:Elusimicrobia bacterium RIFOXYC2_FTLL_34_12 rifoxyc2_full_scaffold_5690, whole genome shotgun sequence.